rnacentral:lncRNA from 1 species
CCCGAUCCAGGAAAUAUUACCUACUACUAGCACAGAGUUGUUAGCAACUAUGACCUGCUACUAAUACUGAGAUGGAGAACGUCAACGUGCCUGCUGACCCUGCACAUGACGCAUGGUAUCCAAGUGGGCUGUGUCCUGCCACAUUCAGGAAAUUUGAGGUGCAACCCUUGUAGGAAAUCAGGUUUCACUGUCCAGUUACAAGAAGCCUGGUGUAAAUAGCUUGUUUGGUCCAGUUGCACCCAACAAAGGGCAACUACCAUGCUGUAAUGAAACUUGAUGGUAUCAGUUUACACCAACGCUAAACUACAUAUACAGCUCCCAAUACAGUGUGCUUUGAGAAGGGAGAGCAACUAUGCCCUGUACGUUUCUGGAAAGAAGAAGUGUUGAGAAGAGUUCUGUGUUGAAGUCAGCAUUGGCAUCCUGAGUAGUGAAAAGAUCAGCAGGGAGUAGCAUCAGUUCGCUACUGUGUGGAGGGACAGUGUUUCUCCCUAUACUCAUGGACAGUACUGUACAUCUAAACACAUGAUUCAUAUUAUAUAUUGUUUCAUAAUGUGAGGUGUGUUUUUUUCAUUCAAAAUAUCAAUUAUCAUAUAUGGUGAAUUUAGCAUCUUACAAAUAUACUGUGCAUGGAAUUUCUUCACUUACACUGUUUUCAGCAUUUUGAGGCAAAACUCUUUUCAUGUGUUACAUUUAUGUUUAUUGUUUCCUCAACAAUAAAGAACUAGCAAAAUGA